AUACGUAGGGGGCGAGCGUUGUCCGGAAUUACUGGGCGUAAAGGGUGCGUAGGUGGCACUUUAAGUUGGAUGUGAAAUCCCCGUGCUUAACAUGGGAGCUGCAUCCAAUACUGGAGAGCUAGAGUGCAGGAGAGGUAAGCGGAAUUCCUAGUGUAGCGGUGAAAUGCGUAGAUAUUAGGAGGAACACCAGUGGCGAAGGCGGCUUACUGGACUGUAACUGACACUGAGGCACGAAAGCGUGGGGAGCAAACAGGAUUAGAUACCCUGGUAGUCCACGCUGUAAACGAUGAAUACUAGGUGUAGGGGGUAUCAACUCCCUCUGUGCCGCAGUUAACACAAUAAGUAUUCCGCCUGGGGAGUACGGCCGCAAGGUUAAAACUCAAAUGAAUUGACGGGG
rnacentral:rRNA from 1 species